rnacentral:rRNA from 1 species
GUGAGGAAUAUUGGACAAUGGCCGGAAGGCUGAUCCAGCCAUGCCGCGUGCGGGAAGACGGCCCUAUGGGUUGUAAACCGCUUUUGCGAGGGAGCAAUAAGGGCAACGUGUUGUCCGAUGAGAGUACCUCGCGAAUAAGCAUCGGCUAACUCCGUGCCAGCAGCCGCGGUAAUACGGAGGAUGCAAGCGUUAUCCGGAUUUAUUGGGUUUAAAGGGUGCGCAGGCGGCUUGUUAAGCGGGAGGUGAAAUGCCGGCGCUCAACGUCGGAAGUGCCUCCCGAACUGGUGAGCUUGAAUGACUCUGCCGUGGGAGGAAUGUGUAGUGUAGCGGUGAAAUGCUUAGAGAUUACACAGAACACCGAUUGCGAAGGCAUCUCACGAAGGGUUGAUUGACGCUGAGGCACGAAAGCGUGGGGAUCAAACAGG